rnacentral:rRNA from 1 species
AUGAUUGUCAGCACUGGUGCGGUGCAGCAGCUCGCCUCAGUCCCUGAGGGCAGGACGGCUCUCAAGGAUUGCCCGAGGACGAUACCCAACGUCGUUCGAUUGCUGAUGAGGGUGUCCGAGGCCUGCACGCAGCGCGCCCUGUCGAUGCUGUGGGUGGUGUGCAGAAUGGUGCCUGAGGAGUCCGCGCCCACUGCCCUGGAGGUCGGACUGGCCGCCAAGCUUCUGCUGGUGAUUCAAAGCGGGUGCGGGCCGGAGCUGAAGCAGCAAGCCUCGGAGUUGCUCAAGCUUUGCACCAUGCACUGCAUGUCCACCGUCUUCCUCGUGAAAUGCAAGCUCACCAAGACAAUUCAGUGA